CACACCUGCUCCUCAUCUGGGCUCGUCGGGGGAGCUAUUUAGAGGAGUGAUGGAGCUUCCACCGACGCUGGAUUAUUGCGUUUGACUACACGAGGAGUGUGGGACGAGAAGGAGCAGUGAGCACGAGGAGUGCAGGGACACUGGGGCAGAGAGCACUACACGGAGACUUUUGGGAAGAAGACACUACACGGGAGUCUGGGAAACUGGGGAUUUACUGUUGUUUACUUCACCACCUUGUAAAUAAACACUGCUGCACUGUA